UACGUAGGGGGCAAGCGUUGUCCGGAUUUAUUGGGCGUAAAGAGCGUGUAGGCGGCCUGAAAGGUCAGCUGUGAAAACUCGAGGCUCAACCUCGAGACGUCGGUUGAAACCAUCUGGCUAGAGUCCGGAAGAGGAGUGUGGAAUUCCCGGUGUGAGCGGUGAAAUGCGCAGAUAUCGGGAAGAACACCCGUGGCGAAGGCGGCACUCUGGGACGGUACUGACGCUGAGACGCGGAAAGCGUGGGGAGCGAACGAGGA
rnacentral:rRNA from 1 species